AGCCUGGACAGGACUGAUGGCUUCGAAUGCCUUCAGGUGGGUUCAAAUCCCUUUGGGCCCUUAUUAUCCUAAUG
rnacentral:tRNA from 1 species